rnacentral:rRNA from 1 species
CCUACGGGGGACAGCAGUGAGGAAUAUUGGUCAAUGGGCGCGAGCCUGAACCAGCCAAGUCGCGUGAGGGAAGACGGUCCUAUGGAUUGUAAACCUCUUUUGUCGGGGAGCAAGGCCCGCCACGUGUGGCGGGAAGGAGAGUACCCGAAGAAAAAGCAUCGGCUAACUCCGUGCCAGCAGCCGCGGUAAUACGGAGGAUGCGAGCGUUAUCCGGAUUUAUUGGGUUUAAAGGGAGCGUAGGCGGGUUGUUAAGUCAGUUGUGAAAGUUUGCGGCUCAACCGUAAAAUUGCAGUUGAUACUGGCAUCCUUGAGUACAGUAGAGGUAGGCGGAAUUCGUGGUGUAGCGGUGAAAUGCUUAGAUAUCACGAAGAACUCCGAUUGCGAAGGCAGCCUGCUGGACUGUAACUGACGCUGAUGCUCGAAAGUGUGGGUAUCAAACAGGAUUAGAUACCCGAGUAGUC